CCUACGGGUGGCAGCAGUGGGGAAUAUUGCACAAUGGGGGAAACCCUGAUGCAGCGACGCCGCGUGAGUGAAGAAGUAAUUCGGUAUGUAAAGCUCUAUCAGCAGGGAAGAAAAUGACGCUACACGAGUAAGAAGCACCGGCGCACUACGGGCCAGCAGCCGCGGUAAUACGGAGGGGGCAAGCUUGAUCCGGAUUUACUGGGUGUAAAGGGAGCGUAUACGGGAGGGCACGUCUGGUGUGAAAGGCGGGGGCUCAAACCCCGAACUGCUCUGGAAACUGUACGGCUGGAGUGCAGGAGAGGUAGGUGGAAUUCCUAGUGUAGCGGUGAAAUGCGUAGAUAUUAGGAGGAACACCAGUGGCGAAGGCGGCUUACUGGACUGUAACUGACGUUGAGGCGCGAAAGCGUGGGGAGCAAACAGGAUUAGAUACCCCAGUAGUC
rnacentral:rRNA from 1 species